rnacentral:rRNA from 1 species
GCCUCGACUGUUUACUAAAAACACAAUUCAGAGCAAUGAUUAAUAUCAUAGUAUUCUGAAUGAAAUUUGCCCAAUGCCAUUAAUAUAAGAGAGGUAAUAGGAAACUGUUACUAAUCGAAAGUCUGGUUAAUAGCGGUCUUAACUAUGAGGAUCCAAAGGUAGCAAAAUAAAUUGGCCAUUAAAUGUGGUCUGGUAUCAAUAAUGUAACGAUGGUCUCACUGUCUCUACAACUUGCUCAGUGAAAUUGAAUUACCCGUGCAGAUGCGGGUUACCU